rnacentral:rRNA from 1 species
GACCAAAAUCCUCGCCGUCACCCCUCCGCCCCACCGGCGGCCAUGCAGAUGGAGGACCCGCAGUUCAUCAUCGGCACCUCCAGGAGCCGUAUGCUCGCCAGGAUGGAGCGCGACGGCGAGGACCCCGAGAUGCUGGACCUCGGCAUAAAGCUCUUCCUCUAUGUCGCGUACGACUACCUCCCGGACCCGCCCGUCUCCCCCACCCCCAUCCUCUCGCUUCCCGCCGUCGUGUGGGUCCCCCACGGCGUCGACCGCAUCAGCUGCCUCCCCGACGUCGUCCUCGUCAACAUCCUCUCCCGCCUCCCCGCCAAGGACGCCGCGCGCACCGCCGCCCUCGCCUCGCGCUGGCGCCCACUCUGGCGCACGGCGCCCCUCGCUCUCGUCGACAGCCACCUGCUUCCGGACGGCGGUGCCGCCGAUUCGUUCACCAUCGGCGCUCCCUCUCCUCGCGCCGUCACCGCUGCGGUGUCCCGCAUCCUCGCGGCGCACCCGGGCCCCUUCCGCUGCGUCCACCUCACCUGCACCACCAUGGACGAGCACCGGGGCUAGAUGGCCCGCUGGCUGGACGUCCUCGCCGCCAAGGGGGUCGAGGAACUCGUCUUUGUUAACCGCCCUUGGCCGCUAGACCUGCGCCUCCCCGCCACCAUCUUCAGCUGCGGCGCCUCCCUCACCCGCCUCUACCUCGGCGUUUGGAGGCUCCCAGACAUGGCCGCCGUGCCGCGUGGCGCAGGCUUCCCCAAAUUCCGUGAGCUCGGCCUCUGCAUGACUGUCAUGGAGGACCGCGAUCUGGCAUUCAUGCUUGAAAGAAGCCCCGUCCUGGAGUUCCUCGUCUUCAUGGCGAGCCAGACCGGAGUGCGCCUCCGCCUCGUCAGCCAGAGCCUGUGGUGCGUUCAGCUGGGUUAUACCCACUUGAAAGACAUCGACGUGGUCGAUGCCCCUCGCCUGGAGAGGCUCUUCCAGUGUACAACUUUUCUUGAGAGCGAGCUCACUGCCACCAGCCUCUCCCCCAUGAUCAAGAUUGGGCAUGCACCUAACCUGCGUGUGCUGGGAUAUCUUCAGCCAGGAGAGCAAGAGUUGGGGAUUAGCAACACCGUUAUCGUGGCUGGAACAAAGGAGAGCAUUGUCCCUAGUGUCCAGAUUUUCGCCAUAGAGGUGCAGUUCGGUAUCCGCAAUGCUGUCAAGAAAGUGCCUGGUUUCCUCAGAUGCUUUCCUAACCUGGAGACGCUCCAUGUUCAGUCACCCACCAUAUCUGAAGAGCCCACUGGCAAGGUGAACAUCAAGUUCUGGCAGGAGGGCGCCCCCAUCAAAUGUGUUGCGCAGAGCAUGAAGAAGGUGUUUUUCUAUGAGUUCCGAGGGUCGAGAAGCGAGGUUGUUUUCCUCAAGUUCCUUGCGGAGAGAGGGCGGGUGCUGGAGCAGAUGGUUGUUGUGGUAGCCAGCGAAUGUUUCACUUCGGGGUCGGGUUAUGUGAAUGACAAACUGAAGCCUCUGAUCAGUGCAAAAUGGUCGAGCAAAGGUUGCAAACUGCAGCUCUUCAAGAGCCCAGUCGGUGAGGGGUCCGGUCCAGCUUACUCUCACGAACUAGCUUCUGAUUUUGGGUUUCCUGACCCUUUUGACCUCAAGUACUACUAUAAGGCAGAAAGGAUCUCUGUAAGUUGA